rnacentral:rRNA from 1 species
AGCGAACGCUGGCGGCAGGCCUAACACAUGCAAGUCGAACGAACUCUUCGGAGUUAGUGGCGGACGGGUGAGUAACACGUGGGAACGUGCCUUUUGGUUCGGAAUAACUCAGGGAAACUUGUGCUAAUACCGAAUGUGCCCUUCGGGGGAAAGAUUUAUCGCCAUUAGAGCGGCCCGCGUCUGAUUAGCUAGUUGGUGAGGUAACGGCUCACCAAGGCGACGAUCAGUAGCUGGUCUGAGAGGAUGACCAGCCACACUGGGACUGAGACACGGCCCAGACUCCUACGGGAGGCAGCAGUGGGGAAUCUUGCGCAAUGGGCGAAAGGCUGACGCAGCCAUGCCGCGUGAAUGAUGAAGGUCUUAGGAUUGUAAAAUUCUUUCACCGGGGACGAUAAUGACGGUACCCGGAGAAGAAGCCCCGGCUAACUUCGUG